UCUUUUCUUAUGUAAUGUUUUCAAAUGUAAUUAUAAUUAGGAUUGGGAUAAUACAAAAAUAUAAUUUUUGCUAAGUGAUAUCUAUUACAUUGUGACAGAAUUUGGUUUCUCAAUAAUUCUCAUCCUGAGUGCCAAACUGAUCAACUGCAUCCUAAUGGAACGUUCAAGAUGUGAUUCAGUAACUGAUACGGUUGUUGCAAUAAUUAUUUUUGACCAAUUUCUCGAUUGAUCAAAGCACCACAGACUGCAUCGUUCGUCACCUCUGCCUUUAAGCGCGUUAUCACCUACUCCAAUAAGCCACCCCAAUAUCCUUAAUAAGCAAUAGAAGUUCUUAUCGACUGUGUAUGACUCAUUAAUAUCCAUGUUCUGUAUAAAUUUAUGUGAUAGGCCUACUGGUAUUAAUGUUGAUGUACCGUAAUGUUUUUUGCUCAUGUAUAAUUGAUAAUAAUACAUUAAAAAUAAAUAUAAUGUUAAAUUAUUA